rnacentral:rRNA from 1 species
CUCGGUGCUUCUAGCGAAGUGGUUCCACCUGAUCCCAUUUCGAACUCAGUAGUUAAGCACUUCAGCGUCGAUGGUACCUCUUACGAGGGAGAGUAGACCAGUGCCGAGA